rnacentral:lncRNA from 1 species
UAAUUUAAAAGUACAUUAAACCUAUGAAAAUGUGGCAACUUGAAAUUUUACACGGUGUAGCUAGCAAUUUUAUCAGUAAAAAAUCUGUAAAACUAGCGAAUCAUUUACUACAGUUUUUUUAAAUUUUAAACCAAAGAUCUAUCAAGGUUAUUCCAUCUAGUAUGGAUUGCCUCGGCUAGCAGCUUAGCUUGCAGGAUAGUAGCCUUUGUUGAAUGUUCGUGUCCUGGAGGGCAUGAAAGCUUUAUAUAUUAUAUAUAUAUAUAUUUAUAUAUAUUAAUACGAUGAUAUGAUAGUUAUCAUGGUUCAGGAACCAUGAUAACUUAAAAGCUAGCAACCUACUUUUCUACACGCCAAUCCUACUAUUAUCAGGGGACCCCAACUCACCCACCAACCAAAUUAUCAUAUUAGAUUGCCCACCUUUACUAGUUUCCCAUCUAGAUUGCCAUCUUUUGAGUUAUCAUGGUUCCCGAACCAUGAUAGCUAUCAUAUCAUUGGCCUGAGAUAUAUAUAUAUAUAUAUAUAUNAAAUGGACGGUGGAAAUUGAAUAAUCUUUAAAAUUUGAGCAUAGGACUUUUAAAUUCAAGAUCAAGAAUGUUAACCUUAAUCUAUAUAGUUUAAAGUAUUUUCUAUCAAAAUUUGAAGAAAUUUAGAUUCUUCUACACCGUUAAACUCCAAACUCGUCAUAAUAGCCGUUGAAAAUUGACAAUUUUGAAAUAGUUUGAUCAUAAAAUAAACUAUGUCGAAAAAAUAUAAAAUUUUAUUUCUAGAAACUUUAAAUACCCUAGAUCAGUUUUAACGGUGUGGAUCGUUGAUUUGAACGCCCUAAGAUCGAAAACCAACACUAUAGUACCGGAGCUUGGUACUAUAGAUAGUAUAGUAGCCUAGCUCUAUAUAUAUAUAUAUAUAUAUAUAUAUAACACUUUUUUGAAGAGCCACGUAAUUAUCGCUUGGUGCUUGGUAUUUUGACAUUGUUCGAGUCGUAACGUAACUGGAGAAGUGUUUCAGUCCGAACCACCGGGUAGUAAAGUAGAAUAAUUGUGAAGCUUUCUCUUUUAACUGUGAAGAGCUAAUGUCGUUAAUUCGUGACCAAAACAUCAUCAUUGCAG